rnacentral:rRNA from 1 species
CAAAUGGAUCAUAAAGUCUUCAAAAAAUAAUAGAUUCAAUUGCAAUGCAUGUAGUAACAGAUGACUUUCAUACUAGCACUAAUGCACCGGAUCCCAUCAGAACUACGUAGUUAAGCGUGCUUGGGCGAGAGUAGUACGAGGAUGGGUGACCUCGAGGAAUGUCCUUGUAUUGCAUCUCUC